GACGAACGCUGGCGGCGUGCCUAAUACAUGCAAGUAGAACGCUGAAGAGAGGAGCUUGCUCUUCUUGGAUGAGUUGCGAACGGGUGAGUAACGCGUAGGUAACCUGCCUUGUAGCGGGGGAUAACUAUUGGAAACGAUAGCUAAUACCGCAUCAAUGGAUGACACAUGUCAUUUAUUUGAAAGGGGCAAUUGCUCCACUACAAGAUGGACCUGCGUUGUAUUAGCUAGUAGGUGAGGUAAUGGCUCACCUAGGCGACGAUACAUAGCCGACCUGAGAGGGUGGUCGGCCACACUGGGACUGAGACACGGCCCAGACUCCUACGGGAGGCAGCAGUAGGGAAUCUUCGGCAAUGGGGGCAACCCUGACCGAGCAACGCCGCGUGAGUGAAGAAGGUUUUCGGAUCGUAAAGCUCUGUUGUAAGUCAAGAACGGGUGUGAGAGUGGAAAGUUCACACUGUGACGGUAGCUUACCAGAAAGGGACGGCUAACUACGUG
rnacentral:rRNA from 1 species